ACAAUCUUCAUCAACAUGACCUUCAUCAUCAUCUUCAUCUGGACUCUCACAUACUGCUUUAUACUACAAGGGUGUAAAGCUCAGAUAACAGUCACUCAGACUCCAGUGAAACCUGUCACACCAGGAGAAACUGUAGAGAUGAGCUGUAAACUCAGUGAAUCUUCACCCUGCAGCCCAAACCCCUGUGUGUCCUGGUACUUACAGAAACCUGGAGAAGCUCCUAAACUCCUGAUUUAUUAUACAAGCAGCCGUCAGUCAGGAACUCCAUCUAGAUUCAGUGGCAGUGGAUCUAACAGUGAUUUCACUCUGACCAUCAGUGGAGUCCAGACUGAAGAUGCUGGACAUUAUUAUUGUUUUGGAGUGAUCAGUAGUAGCUGGGUGUUCACACAGUGAUUGUGAGUUGUACAAAAACCUGUGUCAGUCAGAGUCACAGUGACUGAACUGAUGCUGCAGCUGAUCAAACACUAUCACUCACUCAACAGGUUUUAAAAUAUUUUAAAACACACAAAUGUCUUUGACAUGUUUAAAAAAAGAUGGCAAUUAAACUGGACAUUAUUCACACUUAACAUGACAACAACGUCACACCUUUGCACUGUCUGUAUAAUUUACAGUGUAUAUUUUGCAGCAUUCAGCAAUAACCUAAAGCAUCCUCACCCUAAUGAACGAUGACUUUCAGUAAAUUUCUAAUUUAAAAAAAUAAAUAAAAAUUCCAUUAGCAAAAAGCUAAUUCUGACCAAUAUAAAUAUUUAUACUGUACCUGCGCUUCACUCUGUUUAACGUUCUCUAUGUUCCUGAUGCAUUGUCUCUUGCUGCCCCCUGUUGGUCACUGGCCUUAUAGCCACCACAUAUGCAUCCAGCAUUUGAAGGAGUAGCUCACACAAAAAUUAAGACACAAAAAUAAAUAAAUAAAUAAACCUUUUGUGUUUUGCACGAA